CACGGAGUUAGCCGAUCCUUAUUCUUCGGGUACGUUCAGCCAUCUACACGUAGAUGGGUUUAUUCCCCGACAAAAGCAGUUUACAACCCAUAGGGCAGUCGUCCUGCACGCGGCAUGGCUGGUUCAGGCUUCCGCCCAUUGACCAAUAUUCCUUACUGCUGCCUCCCGUAGGAGUCUGGUCCGUGUCUCAGUACCAGUGUGGGGGAUUCUCCUCUCAGAGCCCCUAGACAUCGUCGCCUUGGUGGGCCGUUACCCCACCAACUAGCUAAUGUCACGCGAGCCCAUCCAUAUCCUAUAAAUAUUUAACAGCUCUACCAUGCGGUAAUACUGUCUCAUGCGAUGUUAAUCCGGAUUUCUCCGGGCUAUCCCCCUGACUAUGGGCAGGUUGCUCACGCGUUACGCACCCGUGCGCCACUCUCAUCCGGUGUAGCAAGCUACACCGGAAUCCCGUCCGACUUGCCAUGUAUUAGGCCUGCCGCUAGCGUUCAU
rnacentral:rRNA from 1 species